ACGCCCCUUCCCGCUACACCCUCGGCAACGCCUCCCCGCGGCGCGCGCACUGAGCGACGGACGCCUCGCUCACUCUCUGUGGGGAGCCAAUCGGGACCUUCUUUCACCGCCUCUGCUGACCCGGCCUGCGGCGGGUCCGGUCCGCACCCUGGGUCAAUAGGUUUCGACACUGCGCUCGGGAAAGGGGCGGGGCUGGAGGCGGCCACUCCCCUCAGAGCUGCUCCGCCCUUCCCCAGGUGCCCAGGACAGACAGAGGAAGCCCCAUCAAAGGGAUGGCUGUCUUGUCGAAUGAUGGGCUGCUGAUCGACCCCCGCCCCGGCAGCACCACAGCAAAAAGCUUCUAGAGUUGGUCACCCUUGUGCCAGCUGAGACUUCUGAGAAAGAAGGCCAUGGCUUUCCCCUGCUUUCCGGCUGUGAGGUUCGGACCAUCCUUGGCCACUCGCUGACCCCACCAAGGGUAACUGUUGUCAGUAAGGACUGGAUUAGGACACACACUGGCCAACCAGAUGGAUCUGGGGUGGGCAUCCAUGAGCACAGCACAGCAGGGUCCUGAACCAUCAGAGGGGUGAAAUAAUCCAAUUUUUUAAAAAGUUACAUAAAUAAAUAGCCAGAGAGUCAUCAUCAUGAAGGAAAACCCAGUGCUUGUGGACUUCCUCCCCUUACGUGCUAGUAUUUUAUAGUAUAGAUUUAAUUUAGAGUGACAAAUUUGGCAACCGCCAAAGGUCUUGACAUGGCUUUGGGUGUCUUUGGAUCUGGAGGCAAACAUGGGGCCGGAGACUCCCUCUUCCUUGCGUAGGCCUGGGUCAUGUUCAGGAAUUUUUGUUUAACCCCAAUGUAUGCAAAAUAGCCCCAACACCUCUCCUGGGGAUUUUUUUUUGACCUGGACACUCAUUGGACACUUCAAAAUGUUAUUGGAAAAGUAGCCUCUGCAGAAACCUCAGCAGAUCUUGAGCUCUCAACUCGGAGAAGAUGGGAUGUUUAAUUUUAUGCAUCCGUUUGGCUAGGCCAGAUGUUCGAUUAAACAGUAAUGUGUUAUUCUGAA